AUUGAACGCUGGCGGCAGGCCUAACACAUGCAAGUCGAGCGGAUGAAGGGAGCUUGCUCCUGGAUUCAGCGGCGGACGGGUGAGUAAUGCCUAGGAAUCUGCCUGGUAGUGGGGGAUAACGUCCGGAAACGGGCGCUAAUACCGCAUACGUCCUGAGGAAGAAAGUGGGGGAUCUUCGGACCUCACGCUAUCAGAUGAGACUAGGUCGGAUUAGCUAGUUGGUGGGGUAAAGGCCUACCAAGGCGACGAUCCGUAACUGGUCUGAGAGGAUGAUCAGUCACACUGGAACUGAGACACGGUCCAGACUCCUACGGGAGGCAGCAGUGGGGAAUAUUGGACAAUGGGCGAAAGCCUGAUCCAGCCAUGCCGCGUGUGUGAAGAAGGUCUUCGGAUUGUAAAGCACUUUAAGUUGGGAGGAAGGGCAGUAAGUUAAUACCUUGCUGUUUUGACGUUACCAACAGAAUAAGCACCGGCUAACUUCGUG
rnacentral:rRNA from 1 species